GCAGAUAGCUCAGUCGAUAGAACAUGAGCCUCCUAAUCUCAGAGUUGUGGGUUCGAGCCCCACGUUGGGCA